rnacentral:rRNA from 1 species
AUAUUGGACAAUGGGGGCAACCCUGAUCCAGCGACGCCGCGUGAAGGAUGAAAUCCUUCGGGAUGUAAACUUCGCAAGAACGGGAAGAAUAAGUAAGGGUUAAUAUCUCUUACGAUGACGGUACCGUUUGUAAGCUCCGGCUAACUACGUGCCAGCAGCCGCGGUAAAACGUAGGAGGCAAGCGUUAUCCGGAUUCACUGGGCGUAAAGCGCGUGCAGGCGGUGCGGUAAGUUAGGCGUGAAAUCUCCCGGCUCAACUGGGAGAGGUCGUCUAAUACUACCGUACUUGAGAGCAGAAGAGGAAGAUGGAAUUCCCGGUGUAGUGGUGAAAUGCGUAGAUAUCGGGAGGCACACCAGUGGCGAAGGCGAUCUUCUGGUCUGUUUCUGACGCUCAGACGCGACAGCUAGGGUAGUAAAC